rnacentral:rRNA from 1 species
UACGGAGGAUGCGAGCGUUAUCCGGAUUUAUUGGGUUUAAAGGGUGCGUAGGCGGACGCUUAAGUCAGCGGUAAAAUUGCGGGGCUCAACCUCGUCGAGCCGUUGAAACUGGGUGUCUUAAGUGGGCGAGAAGUACGCGGAAUGCGUGGUGUAGCGGUGAAAUGCAUAGAUAUCACGCAGAACUCCGAUUGCGAAGGCAGCGUACCGGCGCCCAACUGACGCUGAAGCACGAAGGCGUGGGUAUCGAACAGG